rnacentral:tRNA from 1 species
GCCUGGGUGGCUCAGUUGGUGGAGCGUCCGACUGCAGCUUAGAUCAUGACCUCAUGGUUUGUGGGUUUGAGCCCCACAUCAGGCU